rnacentral:misc_RNA from 1 species
UCCGUGUUAACCACGGCAGUCUGUCUAGAGUGCCCAACUUAAUGCUGGCAACUAAACACAGGGGUUGCGCUCGUUGAGGGACUUAACCCGACAUGCCACCACACGAGCUGACGACAGCCAUGCAGCACCUGUCUCUUUGUCAUAUUGCUAUGAAAGCUACAUCUCUGUAGUUGUCAAAGGAUGUCAAACCUAGGUAAGGUUCUGCGCGUUGCUUCGAAUUAAACCACAUAAUCCACCGCUUGUGCGGGCUCCCGUCAAUUCCUUUGAGUUUUAGUCUUGCGACCGUACUUCCCAGGCGCGGUACUUAUCGCGUUAGCUCCGAGUCCGCAGGGGUCAACUCCCACGAACUCUAGUACCGAUCGUUUACAGCGUGGACUAC